rnacentral:lncRNA from 1 species
GUCCCGGGGGCGAUCCACCCGCCCCAUCCUCUGGGACUCCCACCUUCCAGCUGCUGCCACGCCUCCUCUGUGAGGCCCGAGUUUCCACCCGGGUUCUGGGCCUUGUGGCCUCUCCCAGACUUAAUCCCUUGGGUGCUUUCUGUGCCUUGCAUCAUGUGAGUCUCAGUCAUCCCCACAGCUGGCCUCCCACCCUAAAUGUUGCCCUGACCUUGAGCUGCCUCCCAUUGGCGCCUUCCCAUCACCGUCCCUAGUGCCUCUCCUCCCCUCCUCCUGUCUGGUCUCCCUCUCAUGCUGUCCUGACGAUACUUGUGAAGUCGCUGGCCACUACGUUGCCCCUUUUCUCUUUCCUCUACUACCCAGCCUCUAACUGUUGACCUUGCUGAGCCUUUGGUUCUGGGCCCAUCUGGAGACCAUGAAGGAGCACUGCCAAGCUCUCCCCUCAGCAGAGCCACUGUGAGAAGUGCAGUUGCAAAGCCUCCCACGUUGGCCACGCCUGUCCUGAGUGUGGGGUUCGGGAGCCCCUGCCAUUGCUGUCACCAUGGACUCUGAGGGGUAACCUGCUUAGGAACCUGUCAGCUACACAAGACUUCCCGGAGCCGCCCAUGUCAGACCUGCAGCAGCUCCUCUGUUCCGCUUCCUCUCCCCCUUUAUCUUACACUCAGCCAUUUCCCCUGGGGCAGGCAGGGAGUGCUGCAGAGCUGACCCUGAUAUCCAGUAACUGGCCUAACCCCGGCCACGUUAUUCUGCUGGACAGAAGCAGGCUCAGGAUUCCAGCUUUGAACAGAGCUGUUUUGGGUUUGUGGGAAAGUAAGACAAAAAUCACUUCAUAAUUUAGGGUUAGAGUUACGCCCCUGAAUUCACAAUUUUGAGCACAGACUGCAAGUGAGUGAUUCUACACCUGAUGGGUCAAAAUGCAGGUGCACCAAAAAUGUGUGAAAUUUGCCUGCAGGCUGUGUGUUUAAAAGAUAUGCAAGGGCUGGGGAUUUAGCUCAGUGGUUCUGCCACCUGCCUCGAAAGAGCAAGGUCCCGAGUUCAAUCCCUGGUACCAAAAAAAAAAAAAAAAA